CAACUACUCCCUCUGUCCCAAAUUUCUUGUCUUAGAUUUGUCUAGAUACGGAUGUAUCUGUGACUUGAUACAUCCGUAUCUAGACAAAUCUAAGACAAGAAUUUUGGGACAGAGGGAGUACUUU
rnacentral:pre_miRNA from 1 species